GAGACAGAGAAAGCAGCCUUUGUUUUUAAUACCCUUUUCUUUGCUUGUUUGCUUGAAGGGAAGGUAAAGAAAAAGAUCCAUCAUUUCUAGCCAAACUUACAUUCCCAUUCUUUCUACAACUCAACUAGACUCCAAACUUUUUCUGGGUUUUGCUCUGUGAGCUUCUGUUGUACCUUUCCUUUUUCAACUACAUCGAUUAAAGUGCGAAAAUGGGUGUUGGUGGGACUUUGGAGUACUUGUCAGAUUUGGUGGGUAGUAGCCAUAAACACAAGAAGAAGAAACAGCUUCAAACUGUGGAGUUGAAGGUCAGAAUGGACUGUGAUGGC
rnacentral:misc_RNA from 1 species